GGUCUCAUGGUGUAAUGGUAAGCACUCUGGACUUUGAAUCCAGCGAUCCGAGUUCGAAUCUCGGUGAGACCU
rnacentral:tRNA from 1 species